rnacentral:rRNA from 1 species
AUGACCGUGACGCUCCAGGAUAUUGCUAUGAUCGCUGAUCUUCCUAUUGAGGGUAAUCCUCUAUGUAUGAGCAUAGAUUCUGAUGGGUGGCGUGAGCAGAUGCAUGUCCUUAUCGGUAUGGUUCCUCCGGAGCCUUGGGAACUAGAAGCAGAAGACAAGAAGAAGGAAAGAGUCGCAGACUAUGUUUGCUGA